rnacentral:rRNA from 1 species
CACGUAGGGCGCAAGCGUUGUCCGGAAUUAUUGGGCGUAAAGAGCUCGUAGGCGGUCUGUUGCGUCCGCUGUGAAAACUCGGGGCUUAACCCCGAGCCUGCAGUGGAUACGGGCAGACUAGAGGUAGGUAGGGGAGAAUGGAAUUCCCGGUGUAGCGGUGAAAUGCGCAGAUAUCGGGAGGAACACCGGUGGCGAAGGCGGUUCUCUGGGCCUGACCUGACGUUGAGGAGCGAAAGCGUGGGGAGCGAACAGG